ensembl:lncRNA
UCAGACAUUGUCUGGAUCCACUGCAGAUGGGCUAAAAAUACCAAAAUAUCAGCACUCCAGCCAGCGCUCCAAGCAGGGAUUCUAGCAAUUCCCAUCAAUGUAUCAGAAGCAGUGGAGGGAGACUGAUUGUGGCAGAUGCACAGCCUCUUGGGUCGUGUAAGGGUCAUGGGGUAGCCUGGAGCCUAUCUCAGGGAACUUAGGACAUAAUGUGUAGGAUAUCCUGGACAGGGUGCCAACCCAUCGCAGAGCACAAUUGCACACACUCACACACUACGGACAAUUUGGAAAUGCCAGUCAGCCUUCAACACAUGUAUUUGGACUGUAAAGCCAGAGUACCUGGAGGAAAUCCCUGAAGCACGGAAGGAACAAAAAAAAAAGUUCCACACAUGGCAA